rnacentral:tRNA from 1 species
GUCAUGGUGGCCGAGUGGUUAAGGCGUUGGACUCGAAAUCCAAUAAAGUCUCCCUGCACAGGUUCAAAUCCUGUCCAUGACG